rnacentral:piRNA from 1 species
UUCUUCUACAAUUCUCGAACU